CAGGACUGCUGAUGAGGUCUGACGGGGCAGCGCCACUUCAUUAAUGCAUCACAAUGGUGAAGAGCACCUGAAGCAGCAGCAGCAGCAGCAGCAGCAGUCACCUACCUAGGCUGCAGCUAUCAGCAAGGCCAGCCCAGAGAAAGAAAGGCAACAAUAGACCAACAAAGAUGCCAUAGGCCACGCCUUCCUGCUUUAUCCUCCUCCUGUAUCCCUUCAUUCUUCUUCUCCUCUUUCCUCCCCUCCCAAACUCCUUCCUUCCCUCAUUCCUCCACUUUCAUCUCUUUGCUAUUUCUAGAAAGAAUCUUUUGUCUUGCUAGGCAGAGCAUUUAUAACAAAGGAAAGACAGGAGGUGUAGAUGAUGAAGCAGAGUAGAGCACUUUUAACUGCAAGAGUGUUAGGAUAUGAACACUGCUGUUAGGAUAGAAAAGAGAAAAUCCUCAGACAUUUUUUUUUUCCAGAGCAAGAGAAAAUCCAGUGACUGAAAAAGAAUAAGAAGAAAAACACUGACCAAGGCAAUAAUUCCAAGAAGUCAAAAAUUAAGGCCUGAGAGGAAGAAGGCAGACUAAAGAAAGUAGUAUGGAGACCUUCUAUGUCCAGACUUAAUCAAUUUUCUGUACUUGUCCAUUCUGCUUCUGCUGGUGUUUUGCAGUAAGCCAGAGAUGAGAAAAUUGAUGCUCAGAGGUGUUGUGCAACUUAGAAAUGUACUGCAGCUAGGAAGCCACCUGCUGGUUUCUCAUUACAGCUAAGGUGCCAGAGCUAAGGAAUAACACAUGCCUGUAACAUGAGCACUUUGGGAGGCCAAGGCGGAUGGAUCACCU
rnacentral:lncRNA from 1 species